rnacentral:rRNA from 1 species
UACAGAGGUCUCAAGCGUUGUUCGGGAUUCAUUGGGCGUAAAGGGUGCGUAGGCGGCGCGGUAAGUCGGGUGUGAAAUCUUGGAGCUUAACUCCGAAACUGCAUUCGAUACUGCCGUGCUUGAGGACUGGAGAGGAGACUGGGAAUUUACGGUGUAGCGGUGAAAUGCGUAGAUAUCGUAAGGAAGACCAGUGGCGAAGGCGGGUCUCUGGACAGUUCCUGACGCUGAGGCACGAAGGCCAGGGGAGCAAACGGG